rnacentral:rRNA from 1 species
UGGGGAAUUUUGCGCAAUGGGCGAAAGCCUGACGCAGCAACGCCGCGUGGGUGAUGAAGGUCUUCGGAUCGUAAAACCCUGUCGUCAGGGACGAAGGGCUACGGAGUAACUGCCGUAGUCUUGACGGUACCUGGAGAGGAAGCCCCGGCUAACUCUGUGCCAGCAGCCGCGGUAAUACAGAGGGGGCAAGCGUUAUUCGGAAUUAUUGGGCGUAAAGGGCGCGUAGGCGGUGAUUUAAGUGAGAUGUGUAAUCCCCGAGCUUAACUUGGGAACUGCAUCUCAGACUGGGUCGCUAGAGUGCUGGAGAGGGUGGUAGAAUUCCACGUGUAGCGGUGAAAUGCGUAGAGAUGUGGAGGAAUACCAGUGGCGAAGGCGGCCACCUGGACAGUAACUGACGCUGAGGCGCGAAAGUGUGGGGAGCAAACAGG